UUUUUCUCUUGGUUAAAAUAUUUUUUCUCUCCUACACCUUUUGAUUGGGUGCACAGAUUUUGUAGGCUUCUAACUUCCCACAUCCUUAUGCUUCUUAAUUAUGGUAAUAAUAAUGUCAUUAUUAGUGUCCUCCUCCCUAUUCUUAUCCUCCACAUUAAAAACUUCCUCAAAAGGAGAAACAACUUUUUCUCCCUUAGACUUUUUUUAGCAUUCCUCUUUCGAGUGGUGGCCCUUUUACUAGACUUUAAAGUAUUACUCAUUAGCUUCUUUGCUGCCUCUCUAGUGCUAUAAGAAUUUUGUAAUGGCCUCUCAAUAACCUGGUCCUUUCCCUCGUACCCCUUUUAUCCUACUUUAUUCUAGAUAUUAUUUACUAAUUCAUCCUCCUCCCAAUCAUCUUUCACAGAAGAAUAAAGUAUGUUUUUGGACACACUGGCAGAAAUUAGGGUUUUAUUAUAUCUGGGGCUUAGGAAUUAUGGAGGGGAUUCUAUAGAAAGAAAUUAAAAUCCCCUUGGGUCACAGGCUAAUCAAGUGAGGUUAUAAUCCACCCAAUCUGCCCCAGCCUCCACGCUGCUAGGAGGUUCCCAUAUUUCUCAAGUAGGUCAUCUUUGAACAAGGCUUCUUGAAUAAAAAGGAUUCAGGGACCUAGUUCGUAAGAACCUCAGGCAGGGCUCCAUACUGAAAAAGAAUACUAGAUGAUGAGGCCUUAGGAUUGGGAGUCACAGAUGGUGAAGAAGAAGAGUUGGUAGUUGGAGAUGGCAUUUCAAGAGUUUCUAUGCUAAUUGAUGAUUGAGAAAUGAACAAAGAGGGCACUUCACUGAUAUGUGAUCCAAAUAGAGCAUCGAUGUCUGAUGCAGGUAGAGAAAUGUACUUAGAGAAUGGAUUUUCAAUGUUUGGAGAGGAGUUUAUUGGAGGAGACUCGAUGGAAGGAGUAUUUUCUUCUGAGGGUGUCUGAAUUAGGGACGAAGGAAGAGAUAUUUUGCUGGUUUUUUAAAAAAUAAUUUUGAGAGGGAGAUAUAAAGAGAUGAGAACUUUGUGAGAGA
rnacentral:lncRNA from 1 species